rnacentral:rRNA from 1 species
CCUACGGGUGGCUGCAGUGGGGAAUAUUGGACAAUGGGCGAAAGCCUGAUCCAGCCAUGCCGCGUGUGUGAAGAAGGCCUUCGGGUUGUAAAGCACUUUCAGUGGGGAAGAAAGCCUUGGGGCUAAUACCCUCGAGGAAGGACAUCACCCACAGAAGAAGCACCGGCUAACUCCGUGCCAGCACGCCGCGGUAAUACGGAGGGUGCGAGCGUUAAUCGGAAUUACUGGGCGUAAAGCGCGCGUAGGCGGUCUGAUAAGCCGGUUGUGAAAGCCCCGGGCUCAACCUGGGAACGGCAUCCGGAACUGUCAGGCUAGAGUGCAGGAGAGGAAGGUAGAAUUCCCGGUGUAGCGGUGAAAUGCGUAGAGAUCGGGAGGAAUACCAGUGGCGAAGGCGGCCUUCUGGACUGACACUGACGCUGAGGUGCGAAAGCGUGGGUAGCAAACAGGAUUAGAUACCCGGGUAGUC